AUCUAGAACCCUGUUUGACGAUGUCUUGAUUUGUGAUGAUCCGGAUUAUGCGAUGAAGCUGGCAGAGGCAACAUGGGGCAAACAAAAGGAUGAAUCAAAGGAUGAUCCUGUAGAUUCUGAUGCUGAAGGUGAUGAUGAUGAAACUGACAAAGAUGCUGAUAUUACAGAAGAGAGUGCACAUGAUGAGUUGUAGGGAGGGAAAGCAACGUUGUGGUUUUCUGCUGACAAUUCACUCUCUCGAGAUCUCUGAAUUUUUUUUCUUGCUUAGUUUAUUUGUAGCUUUUAGUUUUGUUUGUGU